rnacentral:rRNA from 1 species
UACGAAGGGGGCUAGCGUUGCUCGGAAUUACUGGGCGUAAAGGGAGCGUAGGCGGAUAGUUUAGUCAGAGGUGAAAGCCCAGGGCUCAACCUUGGAAUUGCCUUUGAUACUGGCUAUCUUGAGUAUGGAAGAGGUAUGUGGAACUCCGAGUGUAGAGGUGAAAUUCGUAGAUAUUCGGAAGAACACCAGUGGCGAAGGCGACAUACUGGACACAUAUUGACGCUGAGGUGCGAAAGCGUGGGGAGCAAACAGG